UACGGAGGGUGCAAGCGUUAUCCGGAUUCACUGGGUUUAAAGGGUGCGUAGGUGGGUAUGUAAGUCAGUGGUGAAAUCCCCGAGCUUAACUUGGGAACUGCCAUUGAUACUAUAUAUCUUGAAUCAUCUGGAGGUAAGCGGAAUAUGUCAUGUAGCGGUGAAAUGCUUAGAUAUGACAUAGAACACCAAUUGCGAAGGCAGCUUACUACGGAUGUAUUGACACUGAGGCACGAAAGCGUGGGUAGCAAACAGG
rnacentral:rRNA from 1 species